GCCUGGUUGAUCCUGCCAGUAGUCAUAUGCUUGUCUCAAAGAUUAAACCAUGCAUAUGUAAAUAUGAAUUGAUUCAGAUUGUGAAACUGCGAAUGACUCAUUAAAUCAGAUAUGAUUUGUUUGAUGGUAUACCCCUACUCGGAUAACCGUAGUAAUUCUAGAGCUAAUAUGUGCAACAAACCCCGACCUUUGGGAGGGAUGCAUUUAUUAGAUAAAAGGUUGAUGCGGGUUUUGCUCAUUGUGUUGAUGAUUCAUGGUAACUCGACGGAUCACACCGGUCCUCGUGCUAGCGAUGCAUCAUUCAAAUUUCUGCCCUAUCAACUUUCGAUGGUAGGAUAGUUGUCUACCAUGGUGGUGAUGGGUAAUGGAGAAUUAGGGUUCAAUUCUGGAGAGGGAGUCUGAGAAACGACUACCACAUCCAAGGAAGGCAGCAGACGCGCAAAUUACCCAAUCCUAACACGGGGAGGUAGUGACAAUAAAUAACAAUAUCAGGCUCUUUGAGUUUGGUAAUUGGAAUGAGUACAAUCUAAAUCCCUUAACGAGGAUCCAUUGGAGGGCAAGUCUGGUGCCAGCAGCUGCGGUAAUUCCAGCUCCAAUAGCGUAUAUUUAAGUUGUUGCAGUUAAAAAGCUCGUAGUUGGACCUUGGGUUGAGUCGAUCGGUCCGCCUUGUUGUAUGCAUCGGUUGUCUCGUCCCUUCUGCCAAUGAUGAGUGUCUAGCCUUAGUUGGUCGGGUCGUGCCUGUGGCGCUGAUACUUUGAAGAAAUUAGAGUGCUCAAAGGAAGCUCACGCUCUGAAUACAUUAGCAUGAAAUAACAUCACAGGAUUUUGUUCCUAUUGUGUUGGCCUUGGGGAUUAGAGUAAUGAUUAAGAGGGACAGUCGGGGGCAUUCGUAUUUCAUAGUCAGAGGUGAAAUUCUUGGAUUUAUGAAAGACGAACCACUGCGAAAGCAUUUGCCAAGGAUGUUUUCAUUAAUCAAGAACAAAAGUUAGGGGCUCGAAAACAAUAAGAUACCGUCCUAAUCUCAAACAUAAACGAUGCCGACCAGGGAUCGACGGAUGUUGCUCUUAGGACUCCGCCGACACCUUAUGAGAAAUCAAAGUCUUUGGGUUUCAGGGGAAGUAUGGUCGCAAGGCUGAAACUUAAAGGAAUUGACGGAAGGACGCCACUAGGAGUGGAGCCUACGGCUUAAUUUGACUCAACACGGGGAAACUUACUAGGUCUAGACAUAGCAAGGAUUGAUAGAUUGAGAGCUCUUCCAUGGAAAUAAGUACAUAUGUAUAAAAAAUUAAUUUGAGAGAUAAAAACUCUCAAACAGCAUGACAAACCAUACAAACAUCAUGAAUUUUAAUCCUCAACAGUUGAGGUAAACUCACCAAGCAACCUACUCUCUGUUAGGGUGUAUGCUAAAAGCCUAGCUUUUGGUAUAAACAUUUAUCUAGUAAUAAGAAUCACAUUGGUCAAAUGUCUACAUUUAUGAUAAAUGUAGUUGUUCGAUUAAUUUAUAUUGUAGAUAACAUGGUGUGUGAUGUCACACGCAGAGGAUCAUGU
rnacentral:rRNA from 1 species